AAGCAGGGCAGCGCCGUCACCGUGGGCCCCUUCUACCAGGGCCGCCCCAUCACCAUCGUCAACGAGGCCGACCUGCAGCUGGGCCCCGCGGCCUGGGGCGACGGCGGCUCCUACGUCUGCAGCGUCGCCUCGGUCGAGGACCUGCU